rnacentral:rRNA from 1 species
UACGAAGGGGGCUAGCGUUGCUCGGAAUCACUGGGCGUAAAGCGCACGUAAGCGGCUUUUUAAGUCAGGGGUGAAAUCCUGGAGCUCAACUCCAGAACUGCCUUUGAUACUGGGAAGCUUGAGUCCGGGAGAGGUGAGUGGAACUCCGAGUGUAGAGGUGAAAUUCGUAGAUAUUCGGAAGAACACCAGUGGCGAAGGCGGCUCACUGGCCCGGUACUGACGCUGAGGUGCGAAAGCGUGGGGAGCAAACAGG